CCGUCCAGAUCCAUCCGUAUCCGUGCUUGGCUGCUUGCGCUUCCGCACUUCCGCCCCACAACUCCACCCCGCUUCCUCCUCUCGUCGUCGCCCCGACCCGCCCCCCCACCGGACGAGACCGAGGCGCAGCGGAGCUCCAUCCGGGCUUCGAUUCACCUCCUCCCGUCCCUUCUGGUCGGACCUCUGACGGUGAUUACGGUCUCUCUGCAGACUGUUGGGUUGUGCCUACCGCAUCCAAGGAACCAAGCAAUCAAUGUAUAAAUUACUAGCUUCUAUAUGUAGGACCGUAUCUGGUUGAAACUGUUUUGUGUGUGAUUUUGUCGCCGAUGAUGCUUCUGCGGUGCCUGAGGCGAUUCAAGUUUGUUAGCUCUAAAGCUGACAUGAAAUCCUCAUGUUAAUUUUGCCAAGUUUGGAUACUGUCUCUGGCCAAGUGCCGAACAGAAGCAGAUCUGAAGGAGUUGGAGUAACUAAAAUAUGGCAUCAGUGCUUUAGACACUUGUUCAGAUUUGGGUAGAGACCUAAGUUUAAUGUGAACAUUAUCCUGUGCUACCAUGUACCUUUUUUUUUCGAGACGGUGUCUGAGCACGUUUUUCAUUAAGAAGAAAACAGUUACAGACACAA